rnacentral:lncRNA from 1 species
CUAAUAAUGGACUUAAUAACCCUGGUGGGUUCAACACCUUGAUGUGUCAAGCUUUUUUCGCGUAAAUCUUCAUUUUGUUAAUCUCUCUUUCUAUUUUAUUUUUGUUAUUUUGUUCAAAUAUAUUACUAUGGUAUCACUCAUUAUUUUAUAGUUUGUAGCUCUUUCGGUAUUGUUAAGUAAAUAUAAUUGAAUUAAAACUAUUGUAGUACUAUGUAAUGUAAAGUAAAUGUGUACAAACGAAUUAGUGAAGCGGUAGUGGACAUAAUAGUGCAAAAUAUAAGUGUAAUACUAAUUUUGAAUCGAAAAAAUGCGUAUUUCAAAAAGUGGUAAUUUUCAACUUUAAACGAAAACUAUAAGUUUCCUGCUGCUGUAACAUAUACAUAUAUUUUUUAUCUGGAGAGAGUCCUCUAUCCGACUAUACCCAUUUUAUUCCUGAAAUCCUAAGACGGUAUUCUAAAGCCGACCCCAAAUUUUUCUAUCAGAUAAUAAGAAAAAAAAUAGAAAACUGUAAGGUGGGGGACAUUGCCGUUACAACUAAUUUUUCAACUAAUUUUUCAGAAUACCGAGUGAAAAGAACUACUUAAGCUACAAAAGCCGAAUUCUGAGCGCAAAUAUUAUAAAAACACCUACCGACAGUGUGAAAUUAGAUGAAAUCGGAAGAUGACCCCGCUCAUUUCCCAUAUAACGCUACUGUUCAAAACUGCUAAGAGCGCAAUAAAUUAAAAACUAAUUACGCCAGAGACAGUAACUUUUACUUUCGAGAAGGCUAUGUGGGAGCCGGUGUGAAAAUUAGGCGAUGAGCGUAGCACCGCUCAGUUUAUGGUAAAAUCACAUAUCUCGAGGUCUUACCGACCGUUUUCGACUAAACAUACGUGGCAUGCUCAUUUUUCUAUAUCACAGUGCAAAAGUUGACGAAAUCGCGCUACAACCAAACUUCCUAUAUAACUCAAUUUUAAAUUCCAUUUAACUUUUUCACCUUCCAAUACACAAAUCAAGAAUUAAAAUAAUUUCAUUAAAGUAUGCCAUUUUAUCACGAAGACAUGCCCAAGCAAAACUUUUCAGGCCACUAGGUACCGAAUAUGUGGACUUCAGUAUCUAUAGUUGACUUUUGACCGAGGAUAUCGGUCAAUGCGGGAGAUAUGCAGUUGAAAUUCAGAGAGAAUCCUUUUCUGACAAAAGUAUCCUUAUGUAUCAAAAAUAGGUUGAAUCGGGUCAAUACUUUCCCUGAGUCGCCAUAUACCUAAUGUAAAGAUUUUCGAUUCUCCAGGUGACUUUAUACUGGAUAUAUCGGGCAAUAUAUGAAUUAUCUCAAUGAAAAUUACCGAAUGUGUUGUGUCAUACUUUUUUGUUACUUUUCAUUUCACUCGGAGAAUGACGAAAUUUGAUUGGAGAAUGAAAUAGCACACUUUUAGUUAUUUGUAGCAGUCGUGCUGUUUUAACUAUAACUACAAAAGAAAUUAAAACAUUUUCAAAAUGGACAAAAUUGUGCAUUCGAAAAACAAUAAAUAAUAUUUGAUCUUCACAAAAAAGGCAAAAAUUCAAUUCAGAUUGCUAAAAUUGUGAGUUGUUCGAGGAAAUGGUAUACAACGCCAUCGAUUUUAUUGAAAGUGAUCCAAAUUUGCGCAACAAUGAAAAAAUCCGCAAAGCUCUUGGGGGGAAAACAACGGAGGUUGUCAUCAUCAGCAAAAAUAAGGCUGAUCCUUUUAAAUCCUACAGAUUAUGGCGGAAAUAAAUAACGAUGACGGCUAAAUGAUGGUCAGUUUUUUGGACGAAUGAGUCGAAAAAAACCCCACCUGUCAAAAAAAAUAUAAGAGCAUGGCUGGACUUUGCUAAAGAACAUUUAGAAAAGGACGUAAAGCUUUGAAAAAUGAUUCUGUAGAGCAAUGAAAAUAAAGUGAACCGUAUAGUAUCGGAUGGAAAACCAUUUCUCCAUCGUCCUAGGUGUCAGGCGUAUAACUCCAAAUACACUUCAAAAACUGUUAAGAACGGCGAGGGUAGGAUAACGGUCUGGGGAGCGUUUUCCUGGUACAGUGUUGGAUCAUGGACCAAUUUGCAUACCCCUAAACAUUCUUAAAAAUACCAUGGAACCAUUCGAUUUGGAAUCGAUGCUUGUAUUCAGCUUAAAGUAUAAAGAACUGGCUCAUUGCAGAAAGUAUUGACGUCCUAAGCUGACCAGCCCAAAGUUCCGAUGCAAACUUGAUUGCAACGACGUUAAGAUACGGAUUGCCAAGAAAAAAUUCAAAAAUGCGGAAGAACUUUAGACUGGAAUCAAGGAGGCAUGGUGCGCAAUUCCACAAAGGAGGUGUCAGAUAUGAGUGAAAAGCUUGCCCCCACGAUGACCAUCAAUUUUGAAAAAUUAUGUGCGCACAAGAAAACGUUAACCGGCCUACUGUGCUAUUCCAAUGUCCAGAUAAAACACGCAAUAGGAAGCUUAAUCAUUUUUUUGUUUUUAGAGCUUUUUAAUUUUUUGUAAAUAACUUAAUAUAAAUAAGUGAUGCCGAGAGUUGAAGAGGG